AGCAGCGGGGCGGGGCCGGGUACUGCGCCUGCGCAUUGAGUUCCGCCCCGCGCGCUGCCCGGCGCCCGGAGCUGGGAGGGGGUUGGAGCUCUCGGUUGCUCUCGGCGUGGGGUUUGGGGUCUUUUAGGGUGUUCCCUGCGAUGUCCGCGCCGCCGGCGGAGGGCCUGAGCCUGCCGCCUCGGAGGGCAGCCCCGCGGUACCGGGGCGGGCGGCGGAGUGCAGCCCCGACAUGAUCCCAGCGUGUGGUGCCGGCCGCUGCGCUCCCCGCAGCCCGGGCCGCCCGGCCGUGCUCCUCGCCGGCUGCCUGUCAGUCAGGGCGAACUUGCUCGCCUUGUUUGUGCCUCGGCGGCUCCGUUUUGACUUACCCCUGUGGUAUGUGGAAGCACCGACUCCAGUAAACCAUUAACUCUUCCCGGGCUGAUCUCUGCCCGGGACUGCUCCGCCACCCUCCGGAGCGGGGAUUCCCGGAGCGAUGCACGAAUGGAGCAGUAGCCCUUGUCCUUCCCCACCGCGUUCCCCGGCAGCCCCUUGACCUAAGUACUCUGUGAAAUACCUAGCGGCUCCUCUGUAAACCGCACCUUCUCCAGCUUCGCGUUUUACGACCCGUUUAUUAGUACUUAAAGCAUAGUUCUCUCAGUCUCCAAAGCCACCUCGCCAACGUUUGACUUCCUACAAUCCUUUCCCCCUGAAAAAAAAGCUGUCAAAAGCGGGGAGAUCAAGAUAUCUACCAGCCUUCAGCUUAGCAGGGAACCGGCGUUUCCGGCAGGUGGGAGCCCUACCAAGAGGGUCAGAAAAAGGGGCAGGUACCCACGCCCUGGAGGUCAGGUUCCCAGUCCGCCGGGCAUCUAUUUCCCUCCUGGGGAUGAGCAGCCGGAAUUUCCAACUGUGUAAAAUCCUCCCGUUCAGUCAGGGAGCGGUUACCUAUUUCACUCGUUCACAUGUAACGUGGUUGUGUUUGACUUCUAAGAGGCGAGGACUAACCCCCUGGCUCCCCCUGCCCAGAUCGGAUGCCGACGUGUUCGACUUCCCCACGCAUCGUGGGUGCCAGCGGAAAAACGCUCGAACAAAUGCCGUUCAGGGAAAGGCGAGAGUGCGCCUCGUCCGUCCCAGUCCGCCACCAUGGGCAGGCUUUGCAGUGGUUAUGCAGCCUGGGAAGAACAAUCAGAACAGCAGCCAAGGAAGAAGUCUUAGAAAAAAAAGAGGAGAGUUGAGUGGCUACCUACUAGUCCCUGACUGCAAGAUGACUCGUUCCUGUCUGGGGAUGUGA
rnacentral:lncRNA from 14 species